rnacentral:rRNA from 1 species
UACGUAGGGGGCAAGCGUUGUCCGGAAUCAUUGGGCGUAAAGAGCGUGUAGGCGGCCAGAAAAGUCCGCUGUGAAAACUCGAGGCUCAACUUCGAGCUGUCGGUGGAAACUUUCUGGCUAGAGUCCGGAAGAGGAGAAUGGAAUUCCUGGUGUAGCGGUGAAAUGCGUAGAUAUCGUAAGGAAGACCAGUGGCGAAGGCGGGUCUCUGGACAGUUCCUGACGCUGAGGCACGAAGGUCAGGGGAGCAAACGGG